rnacentral:rRNA from 1 species
UCAAGUUAUUAAGGGUGCAGGGCGGAUGCCUUGGCACUAGGAGCCGAUGAAGGACGUGAUAAGCUGCGAUAAGCUUCGGGGAGUUGCACGUAAACUUUGAUCCGAAGAUUUCCGAAUGAGGAAACUCACUUAGAGUAAUGUCUAAGUAUCGUUAAGUGAAUACAUAGCUUAGCGAGGGGAACCCGGGGAACUGAAACAUCUAAGUACCCGGAGGAAGAGAAAGAAAUUCGAUUCCGUAAGUAGCGGCGAGCGAACGCGGAACAGGCCAAACCAAUGAAGUUUACUUCGUUGGGGUUGCGGACAUACAACAUGGAUGCAAUAUCGUAAAUGAAGAGAGUUGGAAAGCUCCGCCAUAGAAGGUAAUAGCCCUGUAGUUGAAACGAGAAAGCUACUAGUAUGAUCCAGAGUACCACGGGACACGUGAAACCCUGUGGGAAGCAGGAGGGACCAUCCUCCAAGCCUAAAUACUACCUAGUGACCGAUAGCGCAUAGUACCGUGAGGGAAAGGUGAAAAGAACCCCGGGAGGGGAGUGAAAUAGAACCUGAAACCCUGCACUUACAAGCUGUGGGAGCACAUUACUUGUGUGACCGCGUACUUUUUGUAGAACGGGCCAACGAGUUACGUUAAGUAGCAAGGUUAAGCACUUAAGGUGUGGAGCCGUAGCGAAAGCGAGUCUUAAAUGGGCGAUUAAGUUACUUGGCGUAGACCCGAAACCGGGCGACCUAUCCAUGAGCAGGUUGAAGCGAAAGUAAAAUUUCGUGGAGGACCGAACCCACGAGCGUUGAAAAGCUCGGGGAUGACUUGUGGAUAGCGGUGAAAUUCCAAUCGAGCCCGGAGAUAGCUGGUUCUCCCCGAAAUAGCUUUAGGGCUAGCCUCAAGCGUAGAGAAACGGAGGUAGAGCACUGAAUGUCCUAGGGGGUAUUGCACUUACCGAAGACUAUCAAACUCCGAAUGCCGUUUUCUUUUACUUGGGAGUCAGACUGUGGGUGAUAAGAUUCAUAGUCAAAAGGGCAACAGCCCAGAUCGUCAGCUAAGGUCCCUAAAUGUACGUUAAGUGGUAAAGGAUGUGGGAUUGCACAGACAACCAGGAUGUUGGCUUAGAAGCAGCCACUCAUUUAAAGAGUGCGUAAUAGCUCACUGGUCGAGUGAUCCUGCGCCGAAAAUUUCCGGGGCUAAAACGUACUACCGAAGCUACGGCAUCAUUUAUGAUGGGUAGGGGAGCUUCGUAUGCAGGCUGAAGCAUGACCGUAAGGACAUGUGGACAGUAUACGAGUGAGAAUGUUGGCAUGAGUAGCGAGACGUGGGUGAGAAUCCCACGGGCCGUAAACCCAAGGUUUCCAGGGGAAGGUUCGUCCGCCCUGGGUUAGUCGGGACCUAAGCCGAGGCCGAAAGGCGUAGGUGAUGGACAACAGGUUGAUAUUCCUGUACCGCCAAUAAGCGUUUGAGAGAUGGAGUGACACAGUAGGAUAAGCUAACCGUACUGUUGGUUAUGUACGGCUAAGCAUUGAGGCAGUCUAAAUAGGCAAAUCCGUUUGGACAAUGCUAGGAUGUGAUGGGGAAGCCCUUCGGGGCGAAGUAGCUGAUUUCACACUGUCAAGAAAAGCUUCUAUCGAGUUUAAAGGCGCCCGUACCGUAAACCGACACAGGUGGGUGAGGAGAGUAUCCUAAGGCCAGCGAGAGAACUAUUGUUAAGGAACUCGGCAAAAUGACCCCGUAACUUAGGGAGAAGGGGUGCCUGUCUAUGACAGGCCGCAGAGAAUAGGCCCAAGCGACUGUUUACCAAAAACACAGGUUUCUGCUAAGUCGCAAGACGAUGUAUAGGAGCUGACGCCUGCCCGGUGCUGGAAGGUUAAGGGGAUCUGUUAGAGCAAUCGAAGCAGUGAACUUAAGCCCCAGUAAACGGCGGCCGUAACUAUAACGGUCCUAAGGUAGCGAAAUUCCUUGUCGGGUAAGUUCC